UAUCUAGUCUAACUAAUACUAAAAGGGUUAUAUGAGGAGUAGAGAAGCUAUCCACGUCCUCAUUUUAAAUUAGCCAAUAGGGUGAGUUUAUUUGUCCACGUCACACUGGUGUUGUGCUGCUUUUUGCUUGAUCCGUAAAUUGAAGUAGUUGGCCCAUAAACCCAAUUCGAAAGAAACCCUAAAACAGCCGAGGCUGAGUCGAUGAAUUCAUAUGUCUUCAUCGUUCCAAAUUCCUCCAAUCCUGACCGUUUUACUCGCAACCCACUCUUAAUUAUUCCUUUAUGCUCCUUCCACCUUCCUCUCUUGCUCUUAUAUAAACCCGUCGUCAAAGCUUUCAUGGAAUCAUAUUCAACAACUUGGAUCGAUGGCCAUGAAAUCAGUUCAAUCCUCCGGCAAGUCUCCUCUUGCAUUGUAAUUCAACAAUCUCACACCAUGUUAGAGUUUUUAUUCUUUACCGAAGCUUGAAAGAGAAUUUAAACGUCCUCAGCCAGCCAUGUCGAAUACAUAAGUUCAAAAGAAUAUGAAGAGCCCAUCGUAUGUUUCCUUGGAUUUAUCUGUUUCAUCUUUUUGUUUCAACUGCUUUCUCUCUAUAUCCUGACAAAUUCAAUUUCUUUUCACAGCGGCUCCAGAUUCCUUGCCUUUAGUCUAUUCUGGCUCCUUUUGUGUAUGUUUAUAAUGGUAUAGUCGUUUCCAUAAUAUUUGAAGAUAUUUUUGAUGUAUUUUCACGUACCAGUUUCUAAGAGUCCUUUUUAAAGACAGAGGGAUGUUUGUGUUGGUUGUUUAGUUAAGCUACUACGACGCCGUACAAGUGGAGUUCUGGUGAUUUUCAUUCCAGUUCAUGUGAACUUAGGAAGCCAUUUUCAAAAGGUAGUGAAGAUCUGGUAAAAGCUCCGGCUACAAAUCCACCCGCCAAAGGUAUAGUGAAUUUUGAAAUCAAUAGUUCAGUCUAAAUCUGAACCAAGCCUUUCCAUUUUCUAGAUCUAGAAGUAUAUACUGUCAAUAUCGGCCAGAUCCCCUCAGCGCUAGCGUCAUGGACUACCGAAGCAAUCAACAGUGGAUCCUUCUGCCGCAUAGAUCCUGACAUGGAAACAUGGCUGAUCCCUAAACAGAAGCUACUAGACAUAGCAGAAAGCAAGAGCUCAUGGCUCGACAUGGUACUAUAUUUUUUCGUAACCUUCACUUAUGCCGGUUUUAUUUUUUCAAUUGGGAAAUUUUUCAUUUUAAAAUAUUUUUGCCUCAUCUUGAACUAACCUAAUUAGAAGGGGGAUUCAUGGAAUUCAUCAAUGUAGAAUCCAGAUCAAGACAGAGAACCAGAAGAUGCUAAAAAGUGUGUGUGUCUAUUAGUUGAAGGAAAUUGAUUUGAUUCCCCAUUUUGGAACUAAUCUAUUCUCUGACUGGAACAUAUGUAUAAGGAAGCUGAGGACCAUAAACAAAUGAUGCUUAGUCAAAUGUUGUGUUCCCAAGCCUGAGAGAGAAGUAAGUCCCAUCUAAAUGCUUGGAGUUCAUCUAUUUUUUUCUUCCUUUGUUUCUUUUGGGUCUGAAUUGUAGUUUUAUCCGUGGAAUAUUGUAACUGGUUCUAAGGCUAGCGUGGAUGCAUAGGUUCUUGGGAAUGAAGAAGCUUUUUUUUUUGCACCAGAGAGCUUUGGUUGUUGUUGUUACCAUUUCAAACCAGUUUAUUUAUUUGUAGAUGUUGUAGGCCACAUACAGUCUGUCCAAGGCUCGGCUCUCAACAACGUCACCGCAACUACUCGAGUUGUAGUCCAUUUUCUCAUUUCCCCGUAAGCCCUCAUCAAACAUUUUGUUGCUUUGAUUUUCACUUAUUCGGUCAAAUUUUAAAAAUAAAUUGAACACACUCCUUCAACAGAACUGUGGUGGUGUACUUUUAGGAGUUCAGUAUUAUACCUAGCUCAUGGUUCCGAACUUGCUGUGAUUCUGGUCAUAGAUGCAACUAUUGGUGCUUUUGAAGCGGGCUUAGAUAAUUUGAAAGGGCAGACAAGGAGCAUACACGGGUUCUUAUAGCUUUUGGUGUGGAGCAAGUCAUAGUCACAGUCAACAAAAUAGAUAUUGUUGCGUAUUUAACGGCCAUAUUUGAUUUGAUUAAGCUAGCAUUAGUUGGUAAUCAAGCCUAUAAGACGCAGUCAAAGCUUGGAGAAGCAAAGAGCAAAGCUGAGAAUUUAAAGAAUUAAGCUCAGGAAUCACAAAACCAUUGUGUUGGGGUCCAAAAAGUAAAGAGUUUCAAGAAGAGAGUAAUAAUGACCAUAAUGGUGUAAGAAGACACUAUUAUAUGGAGUUCUUAUCUUUGUGCUUGCAGGAAAAGUUGAGGUUGCUCAGCAAGCAGUAAAAUGUUUGAUGAACCUGGAUCCAGAUGACACUUGUGGUUAUGUGCUCAUGUCUAAUACUUAUUCUUCUUUUGGGUUGUUAGAAGAGGCGGUUGGACAGAGGGUUUUGAUGAAGGAAAGGCAAAUGGAGAAGGAAAUAGUGUGCAGUUCAAUGGAAACGAAGUUCACGACUUUGUUUCUUGCGGUGAAAGUCACCCUGAAUCCCCAGAGAUUUACAGUUUACCCGGUGUGUUAACUGGGAAGCCUCUGCUCUAAAAUCAGAAGGUACUUCUCAGUUUAGUGACCAUCUUGGUUAUUUAAAAGGCACCAUAUGAUCUGAUGCCAUCGCAUAAGAAUCAAAACAACAAAUUCAGUGACAAAGUAUAAUCUGAAUUUUGAGCUGGUGGACGAAGAGGAUUGCUGUUACUUCCAAGCAACCAAAAAACACGUUGUACAAGCUCGAGGUGGAGACAUCUUUGAUGUUUACAGAAAGAAAAGAGUCAACCAGAAAAUUUUGAAACUUUGUAGAGCGUUUUUCUCAUGACUUUUUUUCUGUAUGCAAUUGUUGGAGACUUGGAGUUUAUAAGAAAAAUAAUGUUUGUUCAACGACAAGUACUGUUGUUUGGUUUGUCUGGAUUCAUCAUUCAUGUAAUUAUUAUUAUUUCUUCUUUUAUGUGUUUCCUCUUAUAAAUGUACUUGAAUUUCUCUUAUGCUAGAAAUCUGCAACUAGAAUGGGUUUCACUUGGCUAACAAAGAAAUUAUCAGUCUUAUAGUUUUGGGAUGUAUUCAAAGGUUGUCUUUAGGAAAUGACAAUUCAGUAAUAGUAAUUACAUACAAGAUUCCCCCUCUUCUAAAC